rnacentral:rRNA from 1 species
CCACGGGGCAUGCUUAGUAGCGGCGAGUGAAGCGGCAAAAGCUCAAAUUUGAAAUCUGGCACUUUCAGUGUCCGAGUUGUAAUUUGAAGAAGGUAUCUUUGGGUCUGGCUCUUGUCUAUGUUUCUUGGAACAGAACGUCACAGAGGGUGAGAAUCCCGUGCGAUGAGAUGACCCAGACCUAUGUAAAGUUCCUUCGAAGAGUCGAGUUGUUUGGGAAUGCAGCUCUAAGUGGGUGGUAAAUUCCAUCUAAAGCUAAAUAUUGGCGAGAGACCGAUAGCGAACAAGUACAGUGAUGGAAAGAUGAAAAGAACUUUGAAAAGAGAGUGAAAAAGUACGUGAAAUUGUUGAAAGGGAAGGGCUUGAGAUCAGACUUGGUAUUUUGUAUGUUACUCUUUCGGGGGUGGCCUCUACAGUUUACCGGGCCAGCAUCAGUUUGGGCGGUAGGAGAAUUGCAAAGAAAUGUGGCACUGCUUCGGUAGUGUGUUAUAGUCUUUGUCGAUACUGCCAGCCUAGACUGAGGACUGCGGCUUCGGCCUAGGAUGUUGGCAUAAUGAUCUUAAGUCGCCCGUCUUAAAAACCGGAACCAAAAAAA